GGUGACUGAUACGAUUGAGAUGUUGGUUCGUAUGUGACAUAAAGGUGUUUGUGGAUGUGACACGGACACCAGCAAUGGUAAAGAAAUAGCCACCAAUGUGUAUUUUGAUUAUCUAUCCUUCCCCUCAGGAAUUCAGUCCAUUCGCCUAUCAGAAUCUGUUAUAUCAAACGGGUUGCUGAGCAAGGGUUUCAAGCUAUUGAA